ACUUCAAUUCUUUUCGUCAAUCUUCAUCUUCUAAUUCUUCGAGACUCCAUCCAAACCAUCACGAAAUUCGCCAACUUAUAAAAUCCUUAACAACUACACAUGUCGAUCUUUAACCAACCCAAGAAAAAGAUUAAAACUCACCUAUAAUGUAGAAAAAUCCUCUCAAAUCCCAAAAGUGAGCUAGGUCCCUUCAAAUCCAACUUAAACAAAGGUUCUAAACCAAUCAAUUAAGCUCCAAAAGCUUCUAAUCAAAAAUUCCCAA
rnacentral:lncRNA from 1 species